rnacentral:rRNA from 1 species
CCCUUAGAUGUUCUGGGCCGCACGCGUGCUACACUGAGUGGAUCAGCGGGUCAGGUUGCGCGAAAGCGUUUCCUAAUCUUUAAAUCCGCUCGUGAUGGGGAUUGACGGUUGCAAUUUUCUGUCAUGAACGAGGAAUACCUUGUAAGCGCGGGUCAUCAUCCCGCGCUGAAUACGUCCCUGCCCUUUGUACACACCGCCCGUCGCUCCUACCGAUUGAGUGGUCCGGUGAGGCUUUGGGAUCUGAGCGGAAAGAGCGUUUCGCUGUUUCUGCUCGGAAAACUCAGUCGAACCUUAUCAUUUAGAGGAAGGAGAAAUCGUAACA